rnacentral:rRNA from 1 species
UGGGGAAUAUUGCACAAUGGGCGAAAGCCUGAUGCAGCAACGCCGCGUGCGCGAUGAAGGCCUUCGGGUCGUAAAGCGCUUUUCGGGGAGAUGAGGAAGGACGGUAUCCCCGGAAUAAGGCUCGGCUAACUACGUGCCAGCAGCCGCGGUAAAACGUAGGAGCCUAGCGUUAUCCGAAUUUACUGGGCGUAAAGCGCGUGCAGGCGGUUCGGUAAGUUGGGUGUGAAAUCUCCUGGCUCAACUAGGAGAGGUCGCUCAAUACUGUCGAGCUAGAGGAUGGUAGAGGGAGGUGGAAUUCCCGGUGUAGUGGUGAAAUGCGUAGAUAUCGGGAGGAAUACCAGUGGCGAAGGCGGCCUCCUGGGCCAUACCUGACGCUCAGACGCGAAAGCUAGGGGAGCAAACGGGAUUAGAAACCCCGGUAGUCCUAGCAGUAAACGAUGUGGACUUGGCGUUGGUGGGGUAAAAUCCAUCAGUGCCGGAGCUAACGCGGUAAGUCCACCGCCUGGGGACUACGGCCGCAAGGUUA